rnacentral:rRNA from 1 species
AUUGAACGCUGGCGGCAUGCCUAACACAUGCAAGUCGAACGGGAGUAGCAAUACUCUAGUGGCGGACGGGUGAGGAAUACGUAGGAAUUUGCCCUUAAGUGGGGGAUAACCCGGGGAAACCCGGAUUAAUACCGCAUGAUCUCGAAAGAGCAAAGUGGGGGAUCGCAAGACCUCACGCUUUUGGAGAAGCCUACGUCGGAUUAGCUAGUUGGUGAGGUAAUGGCUCACCAAGGCGACGAUCCGUAACUGGUCUGAGAGGAUGAUCAGUCACACCGGAACUGAGACACGGUCCGGAC